AAUUAAUUUGGCAGUGUUCUAUAAUUAAUAUUGUACAAAUUAAAACUUAUUUGGGCAGUCAAACUAUGAAAUUUAUGUUAUCACCAAAGUUACACCUGAAACAAAACCACACAUCGUUUCCAAAUUCAUUGUUUCCGAGAUCUAAUGUAUAUUCUUUUCUCUUUAUCUUCAACCGUUUAAUUGGUUUGCCUAACUCUUUUGAACUAUCCAUAUCCACGUAUAUCGUGAUUUGUUUCAUAUUCUUCAUCAUCGCAGGCAUUCUUCUUCCAAUAUAACCUGCAUUUUGAAAAAAAAAAACUGUCAAUAUUCUGUUUAAUCUGAUUUUUCUCACAAGAUCUGCAAUUUCUAAAUCCAUUAACGAAUUGAGCAGACUAUGUAAGAUAAACAUGAUCAAUCCCAAAUCUAGGUCAUACCUAUUUUGUGUGUUCCGAGAAAAAAACGAUAUUUUGAACAAAUAAAUCUGUUAUACGGAAUGAAAACAGCCAAUGCGAAUUUCUCGUAAAAUGUUAUAUUAUAAUAAUUUAUUUUGUAAGUGUAUUAUUGCUGUCAAGUUUAUCCAUAUAAUGCGGCAGUUUACAUACUCGGUGUUUUCAAUUUAUUUUCU